rnacentral:rRNA from 1 species
AACAGCUCAAAUUUGAAAUCUGGCUUCNUCCCGGGGUCCGAGUUGUAAUUUGCAGAUUGGUGCCUUCGGGGUGACGACGNUCUAUGUUCCCUGGAACGGGGCGUCAUAGAGGGUGAGAAUCCCGUACGCGAUCGCCCGUCCCCCCGGUGUNAGGCCCUUUCGACGAGUCGAAUUGUUUGGGAAUGCAGUUCAAAAUGGGUGGUAAAUUUCAUCUAAAGCUAAAUACCGGCCGGAGACCGAUAGCGCACAAGUAGAGUGAUCGAAAGGUGAAAAGCACUUUGGAAAGAGAGUUAAACAGUACGUGAAAUUGUUGAAGGGGAAGCGCUUGCGACCAGACUCGCGCGCGGGCGCUCAACCUCCCUCCGGGGAGGUGCACUCGUCCGCGCUCGGGCCAGCAUCGGUUNCGGCCGCCGGACGAAGGUUCGGGGAACGUAGCUCCCCCUCGGGNGAGUGUUAUAGCCCCGUUCGGAAUGCGGCGCGCCGGGUCCGAAGACCGCGCUUCGGCUAAGAUGCUGGNGUAAUGGNNNNCAGCGACCCGUCUUGAAACACGGACCAAGGAGUCGACCAAUCAUGCGAGNGUUNGGGCANCANACCCNNUCGCGCANNAAAAGNGNNCGCNGNNGNGNNCCCCCUCGGGGGCGCACCAUCGACCGAUCNUGAUGUCUUCGGAUGGAUUUGAGUACGAGCACGGCUGGUCGGACCCGAAAGAUGGUGAACUAUACNUGGNUAGGGUGAAGNCAGAGGAAACUCUGNUGNAGGCUCGCAGCGGUUCUGACGUGCAAAUCGAUCGUCAAANUUGUGUAUAGGGGCGAAAGACUAAUCGAACCAUCUAGUAGCUGGUUCCCGUCGAAGUUUCCCUCAGGAUAGCAGUGAUCUUUUCAGUUGNAUACGGUAGAGCAACGUUUGGAGGCCUGGGGGAAUUAAGUUCCUUCACCUACUCACGAACUGCGAAUGUGUNCGAAGACUUUGUUGCUUAGUUGAACGAAGUCACUNGAAUGCACGAUCACUAGUGGGCCUCUUUUGGUAAGCAGAAUAGGCGAUGCGGGAUGAACCGAANGCGAAGUUANGNNGCCGGAAUGUACGCGAAAAGAUACCACAAAGCGCGUUANUUCAUCNGGACAGCCGGACGGUGGCCAUGGAAGUCGGAANCCGCUAAGGAGUGUGUAACAACUCACCGGCCGAAUGAAUUAGCCGCGAAAAUGGAUGGCGCUCAGCGUACUANCUAUACUUCGCCGCCA